CUCUUCAAUUUUAGGACAAGAAUGGCACCAACUCACCUGCCCUGCAAAAAUGUAAAGGUCUCUCCUGGUCAGUCUCAGCCGGUCUUGCUGUGUCCUCCUUACUCCCCCCUUGUUUCUCUCCCCAAAGAAGCCCUUCCUUUAUGACAAUUCUAGACAUGAUUCCAUUAACACAGUCAUCGUCUCAGCUACAUCUCUGUCAAGUGUCUUUCAGAGUUUCAGUCUGGGCCGUCAAAGUGAGUGGUCUUGGUAUUGUUUUAUGGCUCUUGUCCAUUGCCCAACUUCUCCAUCUCUAGACGUCAUCGAUCUUCCUCCUGCUCUUUGCGGUAUGCCUCAGACAGGACACAGGUAUCAGAGCAUUUUUCAGAGUCUGUGCGAUUCCCCGCUUCCAUUCGCAGACUGGUCACUGUCUGCAGGUGAGGCGGCGCGCCGCUGCUUAUGGAUAGGAACCGGCUUCCAUUUACCAUCUGCAUCCUCACAGCUGUGCAGCAGUGAAGACAACUGGGUGCAGGCCUUUAAGCAGGAAGAGGAAGAAGAAGCUGGUUGCCAAGGGGCCCUUCCUUGAGUGUCCUGCACUAGGGCCGCUCACAAGCAAGUGUCACCUACUGAGCACAAAGCCUGGGUAAGCCGCACGAGUCCCAUUUAUAAAUGGAGCCAUCGGGGUGCACCUUGUCCAAGUCCACAGGCCGCUGGGAGAGCCAGGAAAAGAAUGCAGAUUUUCCGAGUCUCUGCCGUGUGCUCAGGCCAGCUGGUCUGCAACUAGCAUUCAAAAGCAGAGACGU